AGACAGAUAGGAGAGUGGGGGCUGCCAGGGGCUGGGGAGGGGCUUGAGGAGCUGGUGUUUCAUGGGGACGGAGUUUCAGUUUAGGAAGAUGGAAAAGUCCUGGAGAUGGAUGGAGGGGCUGGGUGGAGC